UAGGGAAUCUUCCGCAAUGGACGCAAGUCUGACGGAGCAACGCCGCGUGAGUGAAGAAGGAUUUCGGUUCGUAAAACUCUGUUGUUAGAGAAGAACAGCGCAUAGAGUAACUGUUAUGCGUGUGACGGUAUCUAACCAGAAAGCCACGGCUAACUACGUGCCAGCAGCCGCGGUAAUACGUAGGUGGCAAGCGUUAUCCGGAUUUAUUGGGCGUAAAGCGAGCGCAGGCGGUCAAUUAAGUCUGAUGUGAAAGCCCCCGGCUCAACCGGGGAGGGUCAUUGGAAACUGGUUGACUUGAGUGCAGAAGAGGAGAGUGGAAUUCCAUGUGUAGCGGUGAAAUGCGUAGAUAUAUGGAGGAACACCAGUGGCGAAGGCGACUCUCUGGUCUGUAACUGACGCUGAGGCUCGAAAGCGUGGGUAGCAAACAGG
rnacentral:rRNA from 1 species